GUGGGGAAUAUUGGGCAAUGGGGGAAACCCUGACCCAGCAACGCCGCGUGAAGGAAGAAGGUCUUCGGAUCGUAAACUUCUAUCCUUGGUGAAGAUAAUGACGGUAGCCGAGAAGGAAGCCCCGGCUAACUACGUGCCAGCAGCCGCGGUAAUACGUAGGGGGCAAGCGUUGUCCGGAAUGAUUGGGCGUAAAGGGCGCGUAGGCGGCCUGGUACGUCUGGAGUGAAAGUCCUGCUUUUAAGGUGGGAAUUGCUUUGGAUACUGUCGGGCUUGAGUGCAGGAGAGGUAGGUGGAAUUCCCGGUGUAGCGGUGAAAUGCGUAGAGAUCGGGAGGAACACCAGUGGCGAAGGCGACUUACUGGACUGUAACUGACGCUGAGGCGCGAAAGUGUGGGGAGCAAACAGGAUUAGAAACCCGAGUAGUCC
rnacentral:rRNA from 1 species